UUUGCUUUUCUACAAUCUCAUCCACACAGAGUCAGAGGGAGCCUAUAAAAGCAUACAUUGAGGGGGUGGGUGUAGCUCAGUGAUACAGUGCAUGCUUAGCAUGCAUGAGAUCCUGGGUUCAAACCACAGCACCUUCACUAAAAUAAAUAAAUUAAACUCCUCCCAAGAAAACCCAAAACAAAAGCAUAAAUUGGACAUCACCCAUCCCAUCAAAACUCACUAAAAGGGUCACCAUUCCAUUAGGAGCCAAAGUCGUCCCAAAGUCUUCCAGGACCCGGCCUGCUCUGCCUCUCCGCCCACACUCUCCCCAUCACUCUGGGGGCCUCUGGCUCCGGCUCUUCCUUCUUCCUCCGGAUCUAUUCUGCUUCAAGUUCAUUACUCCGUGAGAUCUGCCAGGAUUGCCUUAUUCCCUCCUGCCUGCCUCCCACCCCACCACCAUCACCUGAGUUUGCUCAUAUCACUCUUAUUUUUCCCCAAGCUCUUGCUACCCCCAUCAUGUUGCCUGUUUUCUCUGCUAAAACUCUGAGCCCCCAGUGAUGGGGAGUCGUGUCUAUUUUGUUGACUAAUAAAGCCCAAGAGCCUUGGGAACGGGUAUAGUUACUAGAUUCCCAUAAGUAGUAGGAGCUUAUACAGAUUUGCUGAAUGAAUGCAGAGGUCCUGGUCCAAUUCGAUGGAGCACUUCUGUGUCCUGCUCAAAGAUUAACUCUCCUUUCCUCCUGAGAGGGGGUGACCACUUCCUUGGUGAUCAAAGGCAAGAUCUAUUUUCUUUAUGCUGUUAACCUUAGGCGGGGAGACUGGGGGAUCUUCAUUUAUAUUUUAAAAUUUGAUUCACUCUGCAGUUUGUCUCCUGUCUAUGUAUCCUUUUGAGAAACCGUUUAUGAGUGAUCAUUCUUCCAUCAGAUUGAACAGGAUCCAGGGGGAAGUACCAAGCCUGUCCCAUCGGCCAUCCUGUGUGUCAUGUCCUGUGACCCAGUGGAUGCUCAGCAUCCUCCAGCUGAAGAAACAGAUUGCCUUAGGUACAUGAAAGGUGAGGACACCUACUAUCCCCAUGGAGCCCAGUUGGGCCUGGGAGUCUGCUGUUUGUACAGCCGGUGGGCUCGUGUUGCUUUGGGCAUCCCUGUGCCUGAAUUCCUGCAGUACACUCGGUGCCUGUUUCCUAAUCUGCAAAACUGGAAUGAUGUUAACCAUCCCGCAGGUUUGUUGAUGGGCUGGGACACACUAGACAGCCAGGAGCUGGAAUUCCUCUGUGCCCUGAUUGUUAUCCUUCCUUCACACUAUUUACUCUCACAAGUUCAGUCUCUCUGUCUCUCUCUCAUUCACUUGUAACUUUCUCUCCUGCUCUGGUUUCAUUUGAUUCCCACCCUCCUCCCAA